rnacentral:rRNA from 1 species
GGGUCAGUAGGUUGGUCGUGCCACCGGUACGUACUGGUCUCACUGAUUCCUCCUUCCUGAAUAACCGUAAUGCCAUUAAUUUGGUGUUGCGGGGAAACAGGACUGUUACUUUGAAAAAAUUAGAGUGUUUAAAGCAAGCUAACGCUUGAAUACAUUAGCAUGGAAUAAUGAAAUAGGACGAUCGAUCCUAUUUUGUUGGCUUCUAGGAUUGACGUA